GAGUCAGGGCCUCGAUGUGGACUGGACCCACACGCUGCCCGUCAUGGAAACCGUACAGGGUCACCAGGUAUCUGUGUUCGGACUCCAGGCCAGCGAGGGUGACGUCCUGCUGGUGACCCUCUAUGUUGACCACGUGGGGUUGCCCAUCUCUGUCUGUGUACUGGACCUCAAAGGCAUCAAGUUCUCCCUCUGCCACCUCCCAGGAAAGACGCAGGCUGUGCGGCGUGGCCUCCUCCACCGUCAGCUCCCCUAGGCGAGGCUCGGUGGGCACGGGGCCCGGGGCCUCUGGCUCGGCUUCAGUGUCCUCCCCUGGGGCUGGCUCAAGAGACAGGAAGUGAUGGUGACUGCUGUGCGUCUCAACCAAUGCUGGGGGCGGGGACACUUGAAAGCAUCAUGCAAAGUGUAAGGGUCCACACAGCAAAUGCGGUGUAUCCCGCGACUGUGUUAACGAGGUGCAAAAGAGGCAAAGCCAAAAGCAGCUGGGUGGUUGUGCGGGGCUGGGGUUGGGGAACUGGGUGCAAAGGAGCACAGGGAAACCUUGUGGGUCCACGGCAAUGGUUUUGUCUCCCUUGUGGCAACUGUGUUUUCUCUCGGACGUUUACCCACAGUCAUUGGUACUGGGUGUAAAUUAUGCCUCAGUCAAGUGUGUCCCUUCCCCCAAAUGACACUGAGAUGACAGAUAGCCAGGCGAGAAGGGGCCCGGUGUCCAGGCCACAGUGGCACUCACCAGUCAUGGCGAUGGCAGAGAGGGGACCCACGCGCUUGCUGUGGAGCAGCCCGUAGAGCAGCAGCUUGUACCUGCGUGCGGGGUCCAGGCCCAAGAUGCGGACCUCCCUGAGGCUGCCAUCCACGGGGACCACGCGGGGCUGCCCGGCGCUGUCCCUGUACUGCACCACGAAGGAGUCGAACUGGCCCUGGGGGACCGUCCACGCGAGCCCCACGGAGUCGGGGGUCACUCCGGUCACCUGCAGCUCCUCCCCGAGCUGGGGCUUCGGGGGACGCUGUUCCCUAGGCGGGUCCAUGGCACUCAGGGGCUCUGGGGAUAGGGGAGAAAGGACUGGGGUUUCUGGGAGGCCAGGGCAGGGAGGCAUGGAGUGGGGUGUGGGGAGCCAGCAGCGGGACAGACAGCCCCACAAGCGCCGCCCGGUGGACCCUCACCCGUGGCACCGUCCGCUGCCAGGGGCCCGAGGCGCUUCCGGCCCAGGAGGCCGUAGAGGAGGAAUCUGUACUUGCGGCCGGCGUCCAGAGGGGACACGGUGACCGAGCGCACGUGGCCCUCCACGGGCACUGCCUGGGGCCCGUCCUUGCUCUUGAACUGGACCACGAAGGAGUCGAAGCGGCCCUCGGGGACGGUCCAGGAGAGGCGCAGGGAAUCCGGGGUGGGGUCCGUCACCCACAGCUCCCCGAGGCGGGGUGGAGCCUCGGGGCUGGGGUCCCCUCGGAGGGCUGACAGAGAGGAGAAGUUCCUGUUCAUUUUUUUCCAAUUUUUUUUUUCACUGCCUCCUGCUAGGGUUGGAAAAACCCCAAACGCCCAAGUGGCCAGUGCUUCCCAAAUUUUCCAUUGCGCUCCCGUCCUUGUGGCCCUCUCAAACUGCUCCGCGCCCCUGCUGCGGAGGGGUCUUCUGCCCGAGUCACCCCUGGGAAAAGAGGCCCCCACCCUCCCUGCCCCUUCUCUUCCCACCUGUCAGGGGCCAAGUCCCCUCCAUUCCCUGUGCCCUGGAGCCCACUCUGUGUGACCCCCGGCCCCAGAGCACACCAGAGGGGCGCUGGCUCUGGAGGGGCUGGCAGCAGGUGGCCUCUGCACCAGCUCGGUGGGGGCCGAGGCUCCCAGGCCCGUCUGCCGUAGGAGCGGCCCGGAGCUGGGAAGGAGCGGGCUGGCUGCCUUCCAGGACAGCGGAGGCACUGACGGCACCGUCAUGAGAGGUUUCUGGCAACUGGAAGCCCCAGGGCCUGGGCCAAGCCCCAAAAGCUGCUACAGCUAGACUGGGCUCCCCUGGCUCCCAGUUCCUGAGGCUCCUGGAGGGCAACGGAGGAAGCGGAGCCUCACGGGAGGCAGAUGCAGGUCAGAGGGGUGGGAGUUCAGGGAGAGGGCAAAACACUCAGAGGCCUCGGACUCACAGCCCAGGGAGGCAGGAGGAGCUCCUUGGCCUCCUUCACUCUGGCCCAGCAGCCCCAGUCCCCAGCCGUCCAUCCUCCUUGCUCAACAGUAGAAAUGAGAAAACAGGAAAGCAGUCAAGAAAUGUCCUCCUCCUGGCCUCCUUUGAAAUAGAGCAAGCAGUGUGGCUUUUCUUUCCUGGCACCGGGGGUUAAAGCCAGCCAGGGUUUUGCACUGAACUGUAUCCCCAGCCUUUUAAACUCUGUAUUUUGGGAGAGGGUCUCCAAGUUGUCAAGUUGUCCAGGCUCAGCUUGAGUUCACAAUCCUCCUGCCUCAGCCUCCCGGAAUGCUUACAAGUGUGUGCCACCAUGCCCGGCAGCACGGCGGCUUCUCAAACCAAGCAGAUGAGAGGACAGGAACAGGGCAGAGAAGGCUGGGCCUCAGCUUCACCUGUUUUUGCCUCCACAGAGACUGGGCUGCGUCGUUUCCCGUCCUGGAUCCCGAACAGCAGAAACUUGUACUUUCGCGAGGACUCCAGGCCGGGGACGGUGACCUCCCGCUGGCCUGCAGUCACUGGCACCAACUGGGGCUGUCCGUCCUUGUCUUUGUACUGGACCACGAAGGAGUCGAAUUCACCCUCAGGGACCGUCCACAGGAGGCCCACGGAGUCGGGGGUCACUGACCCGGAGCUGGUCUGAGGCCACAGGUACCUCCUGGGGCUGCCCCUCCCUGUCCUUGUACUGGACCACGAAGGAGUCAAACUCGCCCUCGGGGACCGUCCACGCCAGGCCCACGGAGUUGGGGGUCACCUCGGUCACGGUCAGCUCCCCCAGGCGGGGCUCCAGGGGGGGCUCGGUGGCUGGAGGGGUCUCUUCUGGCUGUGGGGCUGGGGCAGGUGAGAGGGGCUGUCAGGAGAGGGCCCUUUCCCUCGGUAGAACUGCCCGCUCACUGGUGUGCCCCCUGGCGGUGUUGGUGAAAAGGUGCACUGACUGGCAACCUCUCACCGAGGCCCUGCCGGAGUCUGGGGCUGUCCUGGCGGGGAGGGCGUCACCUGCCACCAAGAGCCUGAGGGAGAGCCUGACAUUCCACCUGUGUCUCGGGCUGCUGAUCCAUCCGGCCUCCCCGCUGGAACGCUGGUCGAGCUCCGGGCUUCCCUAUCCCUGUGCCCUUCGCAGCCUCCCUGCCCGGUAAAUAACCUCCUUGCUUUUCCAGCUCUUAGGUCGAAACCCGCGGAGUCGUCCCUGCGUCCUCUCUUAAGUCAAGUCCUGUGUCGCUUCCCCAAGAUCUGGCCUCUGCCC
rnacentral:lncRNA from 1 species